UGUCCGGAAUUAUUGGGCGUAAAGAGCUCGUAGGCGGCUUGUCACGUCUGCUGUGAAAUCCCGGGGCUCAACCCCGGGCGUGCAGUGGAUACGGGCUGGCUAGAGGCAGGCAGGGGAGAACGGAAUUCCCGGUGUAGCGGUGAAAUGCGCAGAUAUCGGGAGGAACACCGGUGGCGAAGGCGGUUCUCUGGGCCUGUACUGACGCUGAGACGCGAGAGCGUGGGGAGCGAACAGG
rnacentral:rRNA from 1 species